UACGGAGGAUGCAAGCGUUAUCCGGAAUGAUUGGGCGUAAAGCGUCCGCAGGUGGCUGUGUAAGUCUGCUGUCAAAGAGCAAAGCUCAACUUUGUAAAGGCAGUGGAAACUACACGGCUAGAGUGCGUUCGGGGCAGAGGGAAUUCCUGGUGUAGCGGUGAAAUGCGUAGAGAUCAGGAAGAACACCGGUGGCGAAGGCGCUCUGCUAGGCCGAUACUGACGCUGAGGAGCGAAAGCGUGGGGAGCGAACAGG
rnacentral:rRNA from 1 species